AUUGAACGCUGGCGGAAUGCUUUACACAUGCAAGUCGAACGGCAGCACGGGGGCAGCCCUGGUGGCGAGUGGCGAACGGGUGAGUAAUACAUCGGAACGUGCCCGGUCGUGGGGGAUAACGUAGCGAAAGUUACGCUAAUACCGCAUACGAUCUGAGGAUGAAAGCGGGGGACCUUCGGGCCUCGCGCGAUCGGAGCGGCCGAUGUCAGAUUAGGUAGUUGGUGGGGUAAAGGCCUACCAAGCCGACGAUCUGUAGCUGGUCUGAGAGGACGACCAGCCACACUGGGACUGAGACACGGCCCAGACUCCUACGGGGGGCAGCAGUGGGGAAUUUUGGACAAUGGGCGCAAGCCUGAUCCAGCCAUUCCGCGUGCAGGACGAAGGCCUUCGGGUUGUAAACUGCUUUUGUACGGAACGAAAAGGCUCUGGCUAAUACCUGGGGCUCAUGACGGUACCGGAAGAAUAAGCACCGGCUAACUACGUG
rnacentral:rRNA from 1 species